UCGAUUUGAAGGCAGUCAAAAAUGGUCCAUCGACGUGAGAUGAACAUUAGCAAGAGCAUCAGUCGACAGCAACGUCCACGGAAUCGCAAUCGCUGCCAAAAGCCAGAGCCAGAGCCAAAGCCAGAGCCAUUCGAACCGGGCCAAAUCUAAGAGAACGUGUGCGUGUGUGUUGCAAAUAGAAGUGCUUGUGCAAGUCAGAAGGGGACUAAAAAACAAUAGAAAAUGCGAGGACUGUAAAUGCCUUUACAAAAGUGCCCUGCCACCACAAACAUAUGCAACAAAAAUAUAAUCUAGUACGAGUUUCAAAAGAUAUUAUGUAAAGGCCAACAUGAGAGGAAAGCAACAUAAGCAGAAGCAUCCGCAACAGAAACAGCAGCAGCAACAUCACUGAAAUAAAGCCAACAGCCACAUACCGUACAAAUUCUGAAACUGAAAAAAGUUAAGAGAAGGAAAACGAAAUAC